CCCAAAUCCGUAAAUCCAGUUAAAUCCCUCCAAAUAAUCGCUCACCUUACAACUCCUCUCUCUCCCGCGAACCACCAGCUACGGCGGAACCACUGCACCUCGCUUCCUCUGUCCCUCACGACUCUCCGCCUCUGUACCUCACGACCCUCCGCCUCCUACUUCGCUAGUCGGAGGAUUGAGAACGGAAAACCCGUUCUUCUAGUCUCUCUCCUCUCCUUCGAGAAAAACCCCACCCUGCACCUCCGACUUCGACGACCACCGCCAGUGCUGCCUCCACUCAAUAUCUCCUUCAGUCUCUCUCCAUUGUCAACUCAACCGCCUAACUCCGAAUUUAAGGAAACUGGAUCAGCUAAUAGACGGAUGGGUUCAGUUGCGGAGAAUCUGUAUAUAGAUGAAAAGGUGUCCGGUGAUGCAAACUCGGGUUCAAGUGAAGAUAGGCAUGUCAAACGUUUGCUUGACCAGAUUAGCAAGACUUUGCUGGUUGAGGAGAAGAAAACUGCUAUAGUUGAACUUGUGUUUGCUGUCUGGAGUAGUACUGGACAAAUGGCCUUUGGAGAAACGGGAUUCCAUGUGAUAUUGAGCAUCUUAAAGGAGAAGCCCAAUGAUGUUCAGAUGGUCCGGAAUGCUCUGGAAACUCUUUUGAUGGCUGUAACUCCAACAAAUUAUGCAAAAGGGCCUUCAGAUGAGGUUCCGCCGAAUUUGAUAAAUAGUAACUUGCUCUUAAGCGAAAAAGAGAAUAUUUCUAUUCUCUUAAGUUUGUUGUCACAUGAGGAUAUCCAUGUACGAUACGCUACGCUUCAACUUUUGAUGCCCCCCCUAAAUAAAUCUCCACAAAAGUUACUGGAAGUUAUAUGUAGCAUUCCCAGUGGUAUCAAACAGCUUCUGAAUUUUCUUAACGACGAUUGUAAGGUAUGAACUAGAAAUGAUAAAAUUACUAUGCUCUUGGUUUUCAUGGGAUUCUAAUUUUUGCAUGUCUUGAAGCUCUUACGAAAUGAGGCAAUGACAUUUCUGACUUUCUUGAACUGUGAGGCUGAAGAAAUUCAAGAACUUCUAGCCUUUGAAGGUGCUUUUGUAAAGAUAUUCAGCAUUAUAGAAGAUGAGGGAGGUUUAGAAGGAGGAGUUGUUGUGCAGGACUGUCUUAUACUGCUGAGCAAUCUCCUCCAUUGUAGUGCAUCGAAUCAGGCAGCACUAAGAGAGGCAAUCGGCUUUGAUAAGUUGCUAUCAGUUCUGAAGCUGAGAAAGGCGACCUACAGUUUUUCAUCAGAUAUGACAACAAUUGUACUUUGUGUUCUAGAAAUCAUUAAUUUGCUUAUCACGGGCGCCCCAGAAACGGAUCCUACCCGAGAUUCAGAUAAGCUGACUAAUAAAACAGUCUUGGUUCAGGAAAAGGUCUUGGACUAUCUCUUCAUGUUAGGUGUUGAGAGUCAAUGUGCUCCAGUUGCAGUGCGGUGUACGGCACUUCAUUGCAUUGGUGAUUUGAUAGCGGAUCACCCCAAGAAUCUCAAAGAACUUGCAAGCAAAAGGUUCGGAGAGGAACCAGAUUUAGAGCCUGCUUUGAAAUCUGUCUUCCAGAUGGUUUUGCGCACUUCUAGUAAGCAAGAAUUCAUGGCAGCUGACUAUCUUUUUAAGAACUUUUGUCAGCGAAAUCCGGAUGGCCAGACAAUGCUGCUGUCUACUGUAAUUCUGCAGCUACAGUCAAUGAUUCAUGCCCCUGUUGAGAAUGAUAUUAACAUGUCAUUUGGAAGCCAUGAUCUUACCACAGGUGAAAACAAAGGCGAUCUUGAGACUUGUUCUAGAGCUGCCAGUGUUCUUUCGCAUGUCAUUAAGGGUAAUAAUCUAUGCAAGGAAAAGGUUCUGCAUAUUGAACUUCUACAACCUACUCCCAUUCUAGGAAGCCCAGAGCCUUUGUUACACUGUAUGGUGAAGUAUCUGGCUCUUGCCUCUUGUAUGAAAAGUAAAGAUGGAAAAUCAAGCACAUCCGAGAAUGUGUUUGUUCAGUCUGUUAUCCUGAAACUGUUAAUUAUUUGGCUUUCUGAUUGUCCAAAUGCGGUGCAAUGCUUCUUGGAUUCACGUUCUCACCUAACGUAUUUGCUGGAGCUGGUCUCAAGUCCUACCACAACUGUUGGUGUAAGGGGCUUGACUGCAGUACUAUUAGGGGAAUGUGUAAUCUACAACAAAAGCAAUGCUAGUGGAAAGGAUGCCUAUAGCAUAGCUGAUGCCAUAAGCCAAAAAGUUGGGUUUACAUCGUACUUCUUAAAGUUUGAUGAAAUGCAGAAAAGCCAUCUUUUUACAUCUGCUAAACCAUUUUUGCCAAUUAAACCAUUGACAAGAUCUACUGUUGCUAGUAUGGAUGAGAUUGAAUAUGGUAGAACUGAACCAUCUGAUGAGCAUUGUAUGCUUACAUCAGUAUUUGAUUCUCCAUUCAUAUAUUUUUUGGAGUGCUUAGUGGCUGAUAUUAGAGAAAAGAUGGUAGAAGCUUACAGCAGCCCAAAUAGCCAGGUGACUGUGGUACCAGCAGAACUGGAACAAAGGAGUGGAGAAAAUGAUGUUGACUAUAUCAAGCGGCUGAAGACUUUUGUGGAGAAGCAAUGCCAUGAGAUACAGAACCUUUUGAGUCGGAAUGCCACUUUGGCGGAGGAUCUGGCCAGAACUGGUGGGAACAACUCAUCCUCGCUUGAGCGCAAAGUAAGUGGGGGUUCAGACAGAGUUCAACUGGAGACUAUGCGUAGAGAUCUUCAAGAGGCUUCUCAACGUAUAGAAACGCUAAAGGCAGAUAAAGCCAAGGCUGAAUCGGAAGCUUCAACAUACAAAAACUUAGCUGGAAAGACGGAAUCUGAUCUUAAAAGCUUGUCCGAUGCAUACAACAGUCUGGAACAAGCCAACUACCGACUAGAAAAAGAAGUUGAGGCUUUGAAGAGUGGAGACAUCGAGGCGUUAAAGGAAGAAGCAAGGGAAGAAGCUCUGAAGGAGAGUGAAGCUGAAUUGAGUGAUUUGCUCGUGUGCCUCGGACAAGAACAAAGCAAAGUUGAGAAACUUAGCAGUAGACUGAGAGAGCUAGGUGAAGAUGUAGGUAAAUUGCUGGAAGACGUCGUGGAUGAUGUUGAUGCUGAUGAAGACGACUAGUCUUACUGAUGUUUUCUUGAUCUACAACAGACUAGCCUUUACUGUGUUCCAAAAUUUUGUAUAAGCAUAUCUGUUUUUUUUUGUGUAUAUAUCUGAUAUAAUUGAGAAAAGACGGUUAUUAAUGAAGUUGUUUCGAAUUUUC
rnacentral:misc_RNA from 1 species